CUUCACUAACUAGGGAAAUGCCAACUAAACCAUAAUGAGGUACCAUUUCUUAUCCAGCAGAUUGGGGAAACUAAAAAGUCUGACAAUUUCAAAUGUUUGUGAUCAAAUGGAGAACUGGGAACUCUUCCACACUGUUGGGGUGUCAAUUGGUAUAAGCACUUUGGAGACCAUGCAACACCUAAAAGCAAAGAUGCCUACAUCCUCCAGCCCAGCAUUUUCACUAUGUGAAUCACAAAGGUCUUGCACUUGCGCAUGAAGAGGCAGUUACAAGAACGUUCGUUGCAAUAUUGUUGUAAUAAUAAAAAAAGGGGGGAAAAUCCAAAUGUCUAUUAUCAGGACAAUGGGUAAAUGAAUUGCAGCAUAUUCAUCUGUUGACAAUACAAGUCCAUAUUACAAAAAUAACGAAAGUUUGAGCCAGGGAGUAAUAUGUGAUUUGCUUCUGAAAGCUCUCCAUUUUAAGAUUAAACAUAGAAUUGAGUCUGAGUGCUUGGAAACUUUUAUAGCAAUUUUAAGGUGAUUUUAAUGCAUGUUCAACCUAAUCAUUAAAAAAUGGGGCUAGUACUUGGUAUUUUAUAGUUCAUUAUAAUUCCAUUUUUUUCUAGAAAUAAACUCUUACUUACACAAGUAUUGGUGUACAAUGCAUUGAAACCAACCAACCAGCCAACCACACCAGGCCUGAAUAAACAGUCUGAGAUGCAUUGCUCUACCUUAAUGACAAUUGAUAUGUGAACUGGAGAUCAUCACUUGCCACCUGCCUCUACAGGGAUUGAAUCAUGAACCACUGCAGCUGCUGACAACUCAAUACGCCCUGAAAGGAGUUCAGGGUGGAGAUCAGGAGUGAGGCUUUGGAAAACUGGCAAAACAGGUCUUCAGAUAGUUAGAUAUUUUCAGGCGGAGAUUUUAUGAGCCCAAUUCUUGCACCUCCUCAUAUCUAGAAAAGCACAAAAAUCUUUCACAAUGACGUCUGCCCCUCGUGACUAGCAGUAAACUUUACAAGACCAGCAGAAAUCUUCUGCAAAAUGUAUGUGCUUGAGUGCACGUACCUCCCCCUUCACCAAAAUCACAUCUAUACUGACCUUCCCCCCUACCUCUUCGGAGUGGUUUUUCAGAGCUAUCUGAAAUACUGCCUCCCAAGCUAUAGUCUUCAUUUUGUCCCAAAUACAACUUAAUUCUUGACUUUUAUAUUGUGCAUAUUUUUUUAAGUCAACAGAUAUCUAUGUGAUUUUUUUUUUCUACAAUGUAUAAGUUUUCUUGUUCAUUGGAGAUCUUGUACUUUACUCCUAAAAUAUUAAUGUCCAGCUUGGGUUCUCCAGAAUUGUUUUAUUUGAUUCGGAUAUUUACCUUGCAUAUAAAGAUGUGGCUAUUCUCUGCAGGCAUUUCCCCUAGAGACACAUGCAAAUGUAGCUGAAAUUUCCUGUUGGUAAACAGCAAGUCUUUAAAUCUAGAAUCAGGUGAUUGACAUACAGACGCCUAAUAAAUUGGAUUGCUUUCAGAGCAAUAUCCUUUCCAGUUAACUGUUAAUUGACCAGUUUGGUGCUUUUCUUUAUCAAAAAUAUCAUAUGGUAUGUAAAAAGACUAGAUAGGGCUUAAGGUAUUUCAUAGACCUUUUAUAGGACAAAUGAACCUUAUGCUGUAGGAGAUGAGAAAGAUGUAAAUUAAAAAAACAUCAUGACAGUAAGAGAACACAAUCAAACCAAAUCUCCCCUUCAGUGUCUGGCAGCACACUCCCCGAGAAGUUUCAGGCUGUGUGUGGUCUCCACCUAGGGCUCCAAAGUCUUCUUAAUGGACUUUGUGACAGCGGGUUCCCAGUUUACCUGGGAUUCUGUCUCUAAGCUACAGCACUGCUAUUAGAGGCCCACAAAUGUGUUUUGGAUUUCCUUUCCCCCUCAUGAAAAAAACUUUUUAAAAAUGCCAUUUUUGAAACCAAAUUACUUACUGAUUUCCAGGAUCCUCUUACACCUGCCACUUCUCAAGGGACUUUUGGUGGUAUAAUCUUUUAAUUUUUCUGGAAGCCUAGCAAAACACAGCCAACGGCUGUUUUUCUAUCAGAAACACGUACUCUUUCCAACAGCAUGCUUUUUAAAAAACUUUAACUUGCUGAGUUCCUUUAAAACUUUUAACUUAUAGCAAUUUAGCGUCUUUGCCACGCUUUUUUCUAUUUCCUAUUUCAUUCCUUAUGUGUUACUUAACAUUCAUUUGAGUCUUUGAGGUAUAUGAAAUUAGAGGAGGCCGAUACCGAAAAAGAGAUGGGUUCUUAAAAAAGAUGGGUUCCGGGACUUAAGUUUUUGAGGCGGCAAGGUGAUGGAUGAAGACAAAGUAGCCAAAUGAGAACAGAGCGUGAAAAAGGUCCCUAAAGAUGAGGCGCACCAACAACUGAUGAAUGAUUUAUCCAGCAAAACUUUGAAGCAAGUCGAACUCCUCAAUUUGGCUGCUGCAGAGGCCAAGGUAGGAGAAAAGGUUGGCGAGGUCCUGCAAAGCCAAGUUCAAAUACAUGCAAAUAUACGGUCGGUGCUGUGAUUGGCCAGCAAGGGCUGCUCAGGGAAAGAGAAGACCAGUUGAGGAGUCGAGGCGGCGGCAGCAGCUCAGACCACAGCAGGGCACUCCACCCUCCCGCAGCGCAGGCGAAGCCAAAGCCCGAGCUGAAGCCCCUGGGCAGCGGACUGCGCAGGUCACGUGACAACCCCCGAGUCCGGCCCUAAUUGGCUAUCAAACCUUGCAGCCUCCCUUCCACUAUUUCCCAGAAAUAUUUUUGGAAACUACUUUUCCCAUAGGGUCUUGCGGCCCUGAUUACUUCGCCCUGAUUUCUUCCCGGUGAUUUCUGGAGGCAGUGCUGGGCUUGUCCAGUAUUCACGUGGACCUCAGCAGGCGCCAGGAGGACAGAUACCUCCAGGAUUAAAACAUCCCGCUCUGUGGAGGCGGGGAAACCAAGCCGCCGCGGCCCCUCCUUUUGGGCAGAGGUCUCUGGGAAAUGCAGUAACUCGAGGGCCUCCGCGUCCGGCCGCGUCUCUCCCAGUCCUGCGGGUUGGAGUGCAACGGGAACUAGUGGGAAGAGGAGGGGCGCGGCAGAUCUUCCACACUGGCUCCUCCCCGCCAGCAGGUGGCGCUGCGUCGGAGCAUCCACUCAUCUACCUCCGAGUUGUCCCAAACGGGAAUUUCCCUUCAAUCCCGUAGUCCUGGAGUUCUCCAAGCAUAGAUUUUGAUUAAGCAAUUUUUAGAGAAAUUUGUUGAGAAAUGGGGCACCCUAUUUUAAAAGAAAGGAACGAUAACGGCCCCAAAUUACCCCCCGGCUCUUGCUGCUCAUCGGAUGCAUUGUGAGGGUGCAAAGAAUCAUGGCGCUGCGUAUACGGGGGAUCCAUUUUAUGCCAGGACUUGCAUCGGGCAGUGACUUCCGCCCCUAGGGAGCGACAGCUGUUCUUCCAGCUCUUUUCAGUGGGUAGCUGGUCUUCGGGGCUGUCACGGCUGUCCCCUAACCCUAUUGUUUCUGCCUUGGCGGGACAUUUGUUCUGCUUAGCUGCAGGGGUAUUGCCCUCAUUUUACGGGUUGGAAAACUGAGGGUGGAUGAAGACUAUAUAGCUAGUAGUGUAGUCGGAACUCAGUACAAUCGAAACUAAAUCUGAUUGUUGUCUCAAACGUGAUGUCCACGUCGUGUGAUGGACAUGAGGCCAGGCAGUAUUUUCAGAUUAAAUAUCUAUUGAGAGAAUGAGUGAAAGAGCUAGCCAUCGCUAGCCUCCACCUGGUACCUGAUGAGAAGAUGACCCGUGGCUCCUAUUCAUGGCAGAGGAGAUUAGCAUCUCAAAGGGCCAGAAGGCAUGGGCUGGAGCUCUCUCAGCUUCUGCGAUUGGCUUCAAAAAUCUCUUCCUAUCAUUUUGGACUAAUGGCAUUUGUCAUCCAGUGAAGGUUAGUGAAACCAAUGUUUGAUAACCACCUCCUCCACCCUGACCCUUUGUGGAUGUGCCAAGAGGCAGCUGCAAAACCGGAUUCACAACAGAGGCCGUCAAGGAAAACACGAAAGAGAUUGUGGAGAUAGCAUAAAAGAUGGGGCCUGAAUGGUUGCAAGAUGUGGAUCUUGAAUUCAAGCGCUAAUGGACACCAGCCCCACCAGAGGAAUGAACGGAAGAUGGCUUGAUGGAGAUGAGUGCCCUGCCAGUGCCAGUGAUGAGGAAGAAGAUGAAGAAGCAGAGGCGGAAAACAAUUUGACAGUAGACAGUCCGGCAGAAGGAUGCUGACUCUUCAGGCCUGCUUUUGAUUUCUUUUACGAUAACAGGUUUUGGAACUAAAGCGGAUAGUGGAAGAUGGACUGGUACCCUAUGGAAAACAUUAGUUACACCAAGCAUGCCUGCCUCCCCUUCCACCUCCUUCUCCUCUUCCUCCUCUGUCACCCCCGAGUCAGCAAGACCAUCCCCUCCCCUUCCUCCUGAGCCUCCUCAGCAUGAAGACGAGGAGGAUGAAGACCUUAAUGACGAACCACUUCCACUUAAUGAACAGUAAAUAGUCAUCAGGCCUUGCAGUUAAGAAACUUAUCUGUUGUGUAUAUUACAUCACUGGGUGACAAUCUAAGACAUUCUUGUCUCAUCAUCAUCAUCACUAAGUAUUCAUUGUGUAGGACAUCAUGUGCAAGAGUCGUAGUGAGGAGUUGUUGUGGCCCAGCAGGUUGAGAACCCAACAUUAGUGUCCGUGAGGAUGUGGAUUUGAUCCUUGGCCUCACUUAGUGGGUUAAGGAUCUGCAAGCUGCAGCACAGGUCUCAGGUGUAGCUUGGAUCCAGUGUGGCUGUGGCUGUGGCAGAGGCCCGCAGCUGCAGCUCUGAUUCGACCCCUAGCCCGGGAACUUCCAUAUGUUGUAGGUUCAGCCUAAAAAAAAAUAAAGUAAGGCAAAGACGUGUAUUUAAGUGGAUGGCCUAUCUUAUCCUUACAUAGGCAUAAGGCAAGAGCUAUUUAAUAUAAAAUUAAUAAUGUUAGUUUUCUUACCGUUUUAUUGUUUUUUAAUUUUUUUGUCUUUUUAGGGCCACACCCGUGGCAUAUGGAGGGUCCCAGGCUAGGGGUCUAAUCCGAGCCGCAUCUGCGACCUACACCACAGCUCACGGCAACGUGGGAUCGUUAACCUCCUGAGCGAGGCCAGGGAUCCAACCCGAAACCUCGUGGUUCCUAGUUGGAUUCAUUUCUCCUGCGCCACGACAGGAACUCCUUCUUACUGUUUUAUAAUUUGGCUUUCAAAGAAUUAUAUUACCGUACGGAAUCUCUCUCUCUCAUAAUUGGGGAAACUGUAUCAGCCUAUCAUUACAGGUAAGUGGUUUUUAAAAAAUGUAACAAUGUUUCCAAUGCUGUAUUAUGACUAUGACUGUAAUACUGUAUGCCAUAAAAAUUUUAUAACAAUUCAUUUAUUAAUGUAUUGGCUAGGCUACUGUGAAGCUAUUGUACACUAGGCCACCAUAAAGCAAUCACAUUGCUGCUUCUUCAUUAACAAUGCAUGAAUCGUUAUACCUGUAAAUAACUGAAUUUCCUUUUCAUAUUAUCUUUUAUUUUUAUCUUUUAUUUUUAAAGUCUACUGUUAGUAAUACAUAUAACAUAUAGAGUUUUGUAUUAUAUAUGACAAUUUGAUGUAAGUACUGACAGACAAUUCAUCUUGUGAACAGACAACAUAAACUUACAGUAUUGGUAAAUGUA